UGUUGUGUGUCUUGAAUAUGCAAUUUUAUGCAAAUUUCUUUAUGCACAGAAAGAAUGAAGCAAAGUAGUCUCUUAAUGUCCAGCCCUCCAUCCCUCAGGCUUCACAGUAGGAUCCUCACUUUUGGAACUGGAAUAUAACAUUAUGUUUCACUGCUUUUCUGAUUUUUGAGGAAGUGAGCAUGGAUUAACAGUUAAACGAUGCAAAUCUGCACUCUGACUGGCUUCUAGGUAUGUAAUUUACAGCAAACCUGAUGCUAGAAUCUCUAGUUUUUACAACAUUUAGAUGCAGAGCACAGGAGGCAGAGAGACUAUACACAGAGAGCAGCAGGUAGAGGAGGGGCAGAGCAGCAGGCAUCUGCUACACUCUGGGACAGGUGGUCUGGAGCAAAUAAAUGGAUUGUUUUGACAUUUUUACUUAGGUACGAGGAAGGUGAGUGCAGGGAGUAGAAAGAGCAGAGAUAUCUGGACUGAGAACCAUAAAAGCUUGGAAAAGACCACUAAGACUACCUAACUGAACUAUCAACCCACCACCACCACCUUGCCCACUAAACCGUGUCCCUCCAUUCCACAUUUACACAUCAUCUCCAGGGACAGCGACUUCACCACCUCCCUGAAUUUGGGGUUUGGAAUGAAAGAGGAAUUGGUGCAGUAUGAGAAGAAACACCUACAAUAAGGCUCUGAUCAUUAAUCCCAGUCAAGCAAGAAGUCAUCAUGCUUCAUAGGAUCAAAGCUGAACUCGGAUCCAGGAAAGAUGUGCCCUCCUCCAGCUUCUGUUGCCCUGAACAGGAGUCAUAGGUACUACUGCUGAGCUGGGGAACACAGGUCCACAGAGCAAGAUCAGGAUAUUACUCUGUUAGGAAGACCUGGAUGGCCCCUCACUACAAGAAGACACUGAGGCCCUGGAGCGUGUCCAGAGAAGGGCAAUGAAGCUGGUGAGGUGUCUGGAGCACA
ensembl:lncRNA